rnacentral:rRNA from 1 species
AUUGAACGCUGGCGGAAUGCUUUACACAUGCAAGUCGAACGGCAGCACGGGGCAACCUGGUGGCGAGUGGCGAACGGGUGAGUAAUACAUCGGAACGUGCCCAAUCGUGGGGGAUAACGUAGCGAAAGUUACGCUAAUACCGCAUACGCCCUGAGGGGGAAAGUGGGGGACCGCAAGGCCUCACGUUAUACGAGCGGCCGAUGUCGGAUUAGCUAGUUGGUGGGGUAAAGGCCUACCAAGGCGACGAUCCGUAGCGGGUCUGAGAGGAUGAUCCCCCACACUGGUACUGAGACACGGACCAGACUCCUACGGGAGGCAGCAGUAAGGAAUAUUGGACAAUGGAGGCAACUCUGAUCCAGCCAUGCCGCGUGAAGGAUUAAGGCCCUAUGGGUUGUAAACUUCUUUUAGACGGGACAAAACCCCUUUACGUGUAAAGGGUUGAUGGUACUGUCAGAAUAAGCAUCGGCUAACUUCGUGCCAGCAGCCGCGG